UCCUGUGACAAUCCCUAGAAUCAGUUGCAGCUCAUCCGGUAUCGCAUCAUCUACCCUCUUGAGCAUCGCGGCGAUCCACGCCAGCCCUUGGGCAAAGGCGAUAGCAGCAUUGGCCACACCAAUGAAUGCCUCUUUGAGUUCGUUGUUUUCCUCGAUAAAGAGGCGGAGGUCGUUGAUUGCCGGAGUGACCUGGUUGUCGAGCAGGU
rnacentral:rRNA from 1 species